rnacentral:tRNA from 1 species
GCGCCCGUAGCUCAGUUGGAUAGAGCACAGCACUCCGGAUGCUGGGGCCGAAGGUUCGAAUCCUUUCGGGCGCA